GCUUGACUGCAGCUUGUAAUUGGGUUCGGGCUUUUUUUGCGCAGCCUAGGUGGGAGGCAACGAUGAUUUUUUUCCGGAAAAAUUUGAGCCGUUAGUGAGAGACCACUCUGAAAAGGCUAGAAUCCUAAUAAUGAUCCUUGAAUCAGGACAUUUGACAGUUGCAGGUGGGCAGUUUUACUGGGGCGGUAUUCUCCUAAAAAGUAACGGAGGGGUGCAAAGGCUCCCUCAAGCUGGACGGAAAUCAGCUUAAGAGUGUAAAGGCAAAAGGGAGCUUGACUGCAAGACCUACAAGUCGAGCAGGGGCGAAAGCCGGCCUUAGUGAUCCGACGGUACCACGUGGAAGGGCCGUCGCUCAACGGAUAAAAGUUA
rnacentral:rRNA from 1 species